ACCAAGGUCGGUAGAAGACAGAGAAAAGGGAACCGUAUAUGUCACACUGCUACAAAUUCCGCACGAAGAACGAGGUUUUCGCACUGAAAGCUGCAGAAGUCUGUUAGGGAGCACACUUGACAAUAAAGAAGGGAGGGGAUUAUUCCAGCUGUUCAAAGGUCUGAACACGUAAAUCUGUCUGAAAUACGACAGGGCAGUAACUCGUAACUACGGCUUAGGCGGUAACUGGAAGUAACGCCCAUCAAAGGCAUCAGAUUUGUGUGCGCCAGCACCCGCACCCCUGUCAAGAUUGUCUCGCUUGUCGAAGUUUGUCUUCUACUUAAUUUGCAGGGUUGACGUUUGUUAUGAAAUGUAGUAUUUUAAUUGGAUUGAAAUAUCUUGUAUCAAAACGUGAAUCGGCUAAAGAACACCACGUAACAAACCUUUUAUUCGUAGAAUCUUUGAUCUGAAAAUAUGAACCAAGUCCAAGCGUCAACCCUGUAUGUUGCUGGUUUUAUACUAUAUAUGCGUGUGUUUCUGAGUUGAAGCAUAAGAACUCUAUCAACCCACUAUGUUUUUCAUUGUAAUUUGUUUUAUAUUUCUUUGUUUCAUCAAUUCUCGAAUUGGAAACAACACUUUUGGAGUACCCUUUAAACAGAAUUGAUAUCGAUGAAAAAGGUGCUUUAGUUGAGUGAUGUAUGGAAACGAAAAUGAUUAAGUGAUUGUUAUAAAAUUAUCACUAAUUUAUGUCCAGGUAGAGCACUGUGCUUGUACGACUGGUUCUUUGUUUGCUUGUAAAAUUAUGUGUGGACAAAUCUGCAAUAAGACGACGGCAGUUGAAAAUGGUUGAUUGCUCAUCUUUAUUAAAAUGUAAAUUUUACUAAAGUUAACUUUUGGAAAGAGAAUUAAAUUUUGUCGCGGCUCCAUCUCGUAAAUUGCACCCAGGGAACUGUUUGGAAAUACAUUUGAAGAAGAGAACGAAAUAUUAAUAUACUAUUUAAUAACUGAAAAUACUGUGUCAACGUAUACUACUUCAAAAAUGACAGCAUUAUAAAACUGCAAAAUUUGCACUCGUUAUUGCAAAAUUGCCCACAUAUAUUGGAAUGAUCUAUCUAAAAGUGUGAAUUUGCGACGUGACGAAUGCUAAGAAUAAACUAACUUUGGAUCUCGGUAUUUUGCCACUGUGUGUCUGAUCAGUGACAGUCCCAUAGUGUCAGCACUGGCACUGGGAAGGCGUCAGUAUGUUUGU